CCUACGGGAGGCAGCAGUGGGGAAUAUUGCACAAUGGGGGAAACCCUGAUGCAGCGACGCCGCGUGAGUGAAGAAGUAAUUCGUUAUGUAAAGCUCUAUCAGCAGGGAAGAAAAUGACGGUACCUGAGUAAGAAGCCCCGGCUAACUACGUGCCAGCAGCCGCGGUAAUACGUCGGGGGCAAGCGUUAUCCGGAUUUACUGGGUGGAAAGGGAGCGUAGACGGCAGUGCAAGGCUGGAGUGAAAGGCGGGGGCUCAACCCCCGGACUGCUCUGGAAACUGUACGGCUGGAGUGCAGGAGAGGUAAGUGGAAUUCCUAGUGUAGCGGUGAAAUGCGUAGAUAUUAGGAGGAACACCAGUGGCGAAGGCGGCUUACUGGACUGUAACUGACGUUGAGGCUCGAAAGCGUGGGGAGCAAACAGGAUUAGAUACACUAGUAGUC
rnacentral:rRNA from 1 species